rnacentral:rRNA from 1 species
AUUGAACGCUAGCGGGAUGCCUUACACAUGCAAGUCGAACGGAGUGGCGAACGGGUGAGUAAUGUAUCGGAACGUGCCCAGUAGUGGGGGAUAACUACGCGAAAGCGUAGCUAAUACCGCAUACUUUUGGCGCGGCCGCUAUCGGAUUAGCUAGUUGGUGGGGUAACGGCUCAACAAGGCGACGAUCCGUAGCUGGUUUGAGAGGACGAGCAGCCAAACUGGGACUGAGACACGGCCCAGACUCCUACGGGAGGCAGCAGUUGGGAAUGUUGGACAAGGGGGGAAACCCUGAUCAAGCCAUCCCGCGUGAGCGAUGAAGGCCUUCGGGUUGUAAAACACUUUUGGCAGGAAAGCGGUACCUGCAGAAUAAGCACCGGCUAACUACGUGCCAGCAGCCGCGGUAAUAC